AAUGAACGUUGGCGGUGCGCUUAACACAUGCAAGUCGAGCGAGAAAGGUUUUCGGACUAAGUACAGCGGCAGACGGGUGAGUAACGCGUGGGAAUCUACCUUCUAGUGAGGAAUACCUCUGAGAAAUCGGAGUUAAUACUGCAUAAGUCCCUUCGGGGAGAAAGAUGGCCUCUUUGCUGUCGCUAGAAGACGAGCCUGCGUACUAUUAGCUAGUUGGUGGGGUAAAGGCCUACCAAGGCGAUGAUGGUUAACCGGCCUGAGAGGGUGAUCGGUCACAUUGGAACUGAGAUACGGUCCAGACUCCUACGGGUGGCUG
rnacentral:rRNA from 1 species